rnacentral:rRNA from 1 species
GGGUCCACCCGUUCCCAUACCGAACACGGUAGUUAAGCUCACGCGUGCUGACAAUAGUUGGAGGGCAACUUCCUGCAAAGAUAAGUAACGCCGACA